CAAUUUGUGAGCUAAUAGGGAAAAAGAGAGAAAGAGGUUAUAGGUAAGCCAAGCGUGAGCAAAGUAACAUAUCUGAGCUCUUAGUGGUUCAACCCUUUCCUCUCCCAAUAAUGUUUUCUAAUUAAUGUAUUAUUAUAUACACAUGUUCUCUAUCUGUUUAAUUAGUUCAUAUAGAGAGAGUGGGUUACAGUGAGAAUUGUAGAGAGAGAUUUGGAAGAGCAAUCAGAGGCAAGGAGGAGAUUGAGCAAGUCUUCUUCAUCAUGUAAUUAAGUUAAGGAAGGUUCAAGAGGUACGAAAGAAAUUCUAGAAUUCUUAAUCUUCCUUCCUUUAGUUUUUUGUUCGAACUUGUUUCGGUUGUUUAAGAUGAAGAAAAAUCAAUUGUGUAAUUUCAAUUGAUGGAUAAAUGGUUAGACGAUUUGAUAACAGCAUACACAUGAAAUCAAAGUAAGCAAAUUUCACUUUGUGUGUAAAGGGGAAGGAAUAGACUGUUGGUCUGAUUGUAGAAAUUUUGGGUCUAUUUUAUGGGCAAAAUUAGUUGUGAUCAUAUGUCAUGAUUUGAAGGUUGUAUGUUAUACUCCUCUGAAAUACGAGAACAACCCAAUUUGAAUGAACCAAAUCAAAGUUAAAACGAAUUCAUGGUGAAAGAUUUCGUAAAAGAUGUCAAACAAAAAAAUGUAGCAUGAACAUUGAAAUUGAACUCUUAGAAUGGUUUGUUAGAGUUUCUGAGAUGUUCAAAUUACUCUGUAGAGAUAUACUUCUAUGUUUGACGAAUUUAUUGAGUCAAAAACAAAUCAAUUUGGACUUUGGAUGAAGAAGUUGUGAAUUUUAGAAGAAGCAGAGUCUGAAAUCGCGAACUGGGAAAACUGGUUCUGCAGUCGAGCGCUGUCGCAACGCUUUUGAGCGCGACCGCGCUGUGUCUAGAGUAAAAUGGGCGCGACAGCACUAGUAGCAGAUCAUGCCUAGUGAUGAGCUUUUAAAUGUAUAUGGUUCAUGGGGAAGUUUUUGGAAUUGAUUUAAUAAACAUACUUAACUAUUAAGCAUGUAAUAUGAUAUAAUACUAAGCUUUAAUCGUCUAAUUGAAUGUUAUGGUUAUAUAAUCAACCUAAGAAAUGUUAUGUGGAUAACAUAAUGAUCUAGUAAACCUUAAACACUUAUUAAAUGGCUAAGUGUUGGUUAAAAGAUAGAGAAUUAUGGAUCGUAGUAUGGAGUUAAUGAAAGCAUGUAGUAAGUGUCGAUAUAUGACUAAUUGUUAUGUCUACGUGAUUUGAAUGUGUAGGAUAUACGCAAAGAAGUUAAGCUAUACGUUGUAAUCAACGCGACAUGUUAGUGUCACAAUUUAUUUAUGUGGAUUUGUAAAUUGAUAUGAGUUAACCAUUAGCAUGACUUAUGUUUAUCAGUAGGUGAAUACCCAUGAAAUGCAUUACUUGCUAUGUGAAUGACCAAAGUCAACUUAUGUAAUGCCCCCAAAUUCGGGUCCCUUGAACCUCGGACCUGGUACAUCACGGUACGUCACGGUACUAACUUCAUUCUAAUAUAUAUAACCUUUGUUCAUAAAGUAAUGAACACAACCUGGCUUUUAUACUAAUUAAUACAUUAUUCUCUUUUAUUCCAGAAUCUGUAAACCUUUACAAUCGGUUAUUACAUCUGUAGAUAGUUCAUGAUCUAUCUAUACAUCUUAAACUAUAAAUAAUAUGUUUCAUAACGAGAUAUUAACUUGCGAGUAUUCAUUAACUCUCAAUUCAAUUUAAAAUAUUCUUUUGUGUAGAGUAUUUCAACUCAACAUCUACAAUAUAUAAUAUUAACAUUCAUCUAGCUUAAUUGGAAACUUCGCAAUCAAGUGUUUUGACAUAAAAACUUACUAUGUAUAAUUACUCUAAAGAAAUUACAACAAUUCGUUAGUGUAUUAUUAAAACACCAACCAUCUUCAAUCACUAUUUCUUCUUGUGAUCCUUCGUCUAUUCUGAAGUCUUUGACGCUAUGGUCAUCUAUUUAUAUCAACUUUUAUCUGCAAAAUUUGUUUGCAAGGUUGAGUACGACGGCUCAGCAAGUCCAACAGUCUACACAUUUCUUGCUUCACAUAGCAUACAAAUUUCAUAUAUUCAUGCAUCAAAAAUUAUAGUCAAUGCAUCUACACAUGCUUCAUGCAUCUCUAUAUGCAUCAUACAUUUCAUGAUAUGCAUCUUUAUAUGCAUCAUACUUAUCAUACUAUAUAUACAAUAUAAUCUUUACAUUGUAUAUUUAACCCAUACUUCACAAAUUCCAUGCUUUCCAUUUAGUCACAUAACAUUUAUGUAAUCAACGAUUUCACAUAAAGCAACAUAUAUCAUUAACUACCAUAAACAUGGUUUAAUACACAUUAUCACAUAAGAGAAAGUUACUGAAGAACUUGCCUCAAAGCGUUCCUUGCGCUGUUAGGAGAAUUCGUCUUUCCAUUGUCCUACACGAUUAAGGGUAUAUAUAACCGCCAUUAGCCACAUAAUGACGUUUGGUAGUCAUUUAUGUUAAUUCUACUUUAUUUUUCAUCAUUCUUUCUUCUUAAAUCUUGAUACACAAUGCUUUAAUCAUGUGUUUAAAACUUACUAGAACACUUUAUUGUCCAUUUGAUUUAUUUACAUAAAAUUUUCUUCGAAUGAUAAGCUACAUCCUCCAUGAGAAUUUAAUUGAUUAGGUUAAUCAUCACCUCGUAAUUAAAUCUAAUAAUAAUUCUUAAAAUCUCGUCUAUUAUUAUUAAUCACUCUACAAAUAUUAUUAAUCAUUUAAUAAUAUUUCAAUCAGUUACUAAUAUUAUUAAUCACUUAAUAAUAUCUUAAUAACUUACAAAUAUUAUUAAUCAUUUAAUAAUAUUUUAUUUACUUACUAAUAUUAUUAAUCCUUUAAUAAUAUUUUAAUCACUUACUAAUAUUAUUAAUUCUUUAAUAAUAUUUUAAUCAUUUACUAAUAUUAUUAAUCAUUUAAUAAUAUUAUUAAUCAUUUAUAAAAAAAUUUAAUUUAAUUGUUUAUCUCUUACUAUUUAAUUUAUUUAACACGCACAUCGUGCCAUUCUUAUAUUAUUUUAUUAAAAAUGACCAUAUAUUACCCUCAUAAAGUCUUAAUACAUCAUAUUAAUGAUUAUUAGUCAAUAAAAUCACCUUAUAGAAUUUUAUAACUUAAUUUUCUUAUUUAUUCUUAACACAUUCAUAGGUAUUAAAAAUACCUAAUCAAAUUAUUAUUUUCCUAUCUCCUGAAAAACUUCAAUAUAUAAUAUUUUACUCACAAAAUAAUUUUCCUGGAAUUUUUUAUUUUCCUCAAGUAUUUUUCAAAAAAAUGUUUUUAGUUCGUAACUUAGGAAAGUUAGUAUGCCAUGCUCAACUCUUGGAAAAAUCUUACACGUAUUAACAUGAACUUCCAGUUUAAAUUUCGUGACCAUCGGAGUUAUAGAACUCCAAUUAUAGACGUUUUCGUCGGAAAAACCCAAAAAUUGAAAUUGUCAUAACUCGAUCAAUAUAUGUCCGAAUAAGAUCAUCUUUGGACAUGAGCUACUUUAUAUCAUAUAUUUUCAUGUAACAAAAGGCCGGAAUUUAUCUCAAUAAUUAAAUGGCCAAAAAUGCCCCUGCAAAGUUUUGGAUAGUUUGUUUUUUAGUAUUUCCAAAUUUUGCCUUCUUUGCUAAAAACUGUCCAACCAAAAAUCUAGAAGGAAUAUUUCUGUGAUUCCACUUGGAGAUGUUAUAAGACUCAUAGAACUAACUCCAAAAAUUGACCACAUUAAAAAAUGCAAAAUAGAAUGAGAGAUAUGAUCGCUCGAAUUUCAUGUUUCGUUUUCUAGAAAAUCAGUUUUUCUAUCCUUUAUGAUUUCAAAGAAAACUUCCAUGAUCUCUUAGUUAAUCAAACAUUAUCCAUCAUAAAUCAACAUAAUACAUCCUAAUACUUCUUAUACUAAAGGAUCUACCAUGAUCCAUGAUUAAUUUCAUCAAACUUUUACCAUAACCAAGCAAAACAUACUAUAAACCAAGAAAAUUACAAAGUUAGGUUAGAGAGCUUUUAAACCUUCUAUGAUUGGAUGAUGGAUGAUCGUUUAUGGUAGUUUAGCUUGCUAGAUCUUCUCCUUCUUAGCCUCUACCUCCAACCAUGGCCUUUCUCCUUCCUUUCCCUCUUAAGCUCCCAUACUUUCUCUAGGGUUUUGGGUGAGAGUGAGGGAGAAAACCUAUGGUUUUUUCUUUUCUUCUUCCUCUUCUUUCUUUUUCCUCUCUCCUCUUUUUCCCCCUCAUCCAUGGCUACCCUCUCUCUCUCAUUUCUUUCUUAAUGGGUGGGUGUGGAGCUUCGAAUGAGAGAAGAUUGCUCUGUUUUAUUUCCUUUUCUUUAGUUAAAAGAAUUAAAGAUUUAAUAUUAAAGAAAGUGGAUAACUAGAUCCACUUUUUAAGGAGAGUUAGUGAGAGUUGUUGGGGGAGUUGGUGGCUUCCCAUGUGCUGGAAUUUCCAGGAGAUUUUGGUCAAGUGGGUCCCGCUAUUAUUGCCUCAUUUUGCGUGCUUAAUCCCGUCUUUGACUUUUGGACCCGAAAAAUCAAAUUUACAAGUUUAUAGUCGAUUCCUACUAAUGUCGAAACUCCCAACGUCAUGGACAUAUCCGUUUCUUCAAAUUCAUCUCCGAAUUUGAAGUUUGACUUUUCUCCAUAAAAGUCAAUUGUUCACUUUGACCAAAAAAUCAACCCCGACACAUUUUGUGUUUAUAGUCUAUUCUUACUAAUUUUGACGUUCCGGACUCAAAUAUCUAAUCCACGUCAUCCACUCAUAUCUCCGAUUUUGACUUUUCUCCUCAAAAAUCAAUUGUUGACUUUGACCAAAAAGUCAUCAUCAACACAUUUUGUGUUUAAAACCCUUUAUGACUAAACUUGACGUUCCGGAUGCAACCGAGCAGUCCGUGCUUUAAAAUUCUAUCUCUAACUCAAAUUUUGAGUUUUAACUUACUUUAUUUUUAUUGAUUAUUCAUAUUAGCUUAUCUUUUCAACUCUUAAAUAUUACAUCUUUCCACUCUUAUAAGGAUCCCAUGCCAGAAUCACUAUUCAUGUAACGUUCUAGUUUAGUUCACUACUGAACCCUUAUGAAAAUUUUCUCAUCGAUUAACUUUAUCGAAUUACCUUAACAUAGGUAUUACUUUACUACAUCUUUCAUUUAUUUAUUUUUCUAUCCAAUUCAUGGACAACAUCUAUUCUUAGCCCAAGUCUCAUCUGACUUGCUUCGGCUCAUUACUACCUACUGCUUAUUCUCAGGUAUUAAUAUCUUCAAUAUUUCUAUCAUUCACCUUCAAAUCUCUUUACCCUCUUUUAGAUAUUAAACCAUAUAGGUUUUUUUCAAAAAAUUUAACCAUUCCUCUAUUUUCAAAUCUAGAUUAUAUUCUUUAAACCUUCAUUUAAUUAGUUGAGACAAGUCUCAUAAAUUUAUUAUUCGAGACAAGUCUCAUAAAUUUUUGGGUUGUCACAACUUAUGACUAAUUUGUUUUGAGUUACUGAACUCAGUCUUCUGAAGCAUGUGAUAUAUGAUCAUUGAUAAGUUGAUAUUGCAUUGAUAACAUGCGAAAAGAUGAUUAAGUAUGAAUUGAAUAUGAAAUUAUGUGCUACGUGAUGCAUGAUAAGUUGUUAGACUUGUUGGGCUGUCGUGCUCAACUUGCUUAAUUUGCAGGUGAAAGUUAAGAUGAGAUAUUUUGUGAUCAAAAGUGCAUAAAAGGAAGGCUGGUUUUCUUAGUUGAGUUGGUAUUGGAUUAUGAUGUUAUUGUUUAUAUGUGUAAACAACAGAUGUGUUAAUCUUUAAAAUAUUCAGUAGAUGAAGAUUAUUUGCUGUGAAGUGGGAAGGUAUUAUGGGACUAUUUUGUAUGUAAAGAUUUCAUAGUUGAAUAGUCAAUGGCAAAGAUGUUAUGUAUUGAGAAUUGAGAGUUUGUAAUAAGUUUACUUUGAGUAAAUAAAUCAUAAAACAAAUGUGAUUGUGAAAUAAAGGAAUCGUGAAUGUUGAGAUUGAGGGAAUAGAAGAAAGAUAGAAAAUUUUAAAUUAUCCUAAAUUUCAGCAGUUUUUAACAUUGAAUGGUGAUGUAAAGCUAGUAUAAAAUAGUUGUUAACACACAAGGUCGGGAUUAAGUUAGUCUUGAUUUUUUUUGGGGUCGUUACAGUUGGUAUCAAAGUUGUAGGUUAUAAACCUUAGGUAGGCUAUAACCGUAGAGAGGAUGAUGAAGAGAAAAUGGACAGUCCUUAAGCGUAUGGACUGUCCUUAAUCUGUUCUUGGACUACAUCUGUGCAAAUCGUUUUAGCUAGACAAAAAUGAUUUGAAAUUAUCAAAAUGUAUUUUAAACGAUAAAGUCAUCAAUGGAGACUAAGCUAGUGCUGAAUGUGAUUAUAGAAUCAUCAACCUACUAUGGUAUGAUGUAGUAUGAAAAAAUCAUAAAAUGAUAGAAUCCUCAAUAUACUAUUAAGACAAUGCGGUAUCAUGACUGUAUAAAAUGAUUUUUGAUUUUCUUUCAGAAAAAGUACGUCAAUUGAGUUAGCUAAAUUAUUUCGAUUGAUAUCCAAAGUGUUGAUGAAAGUGUAAGCUAUUUGAUUUGGCUAGGCUAUUGAUGAAAUAUGUUUAUGAAAUUCCAACAUUCUUUGAGAAUUUUUGCCAAACCAGAUUGUUCUGGUGAGGAAUUUCUAUUAUGUCUGAGGUGAACCAACCCUGUAAUGGGGGGAAAUGUUAUCGAAAACUAUAAUUUCAAGCUACGCAAUAGUGAUAAUAUAUAUGUAUAUGCACAAUACAUAGUACGAAUGACUGAUCACCUGGGGUACGAGAAAAGAUGGUCCAUAGUCUUUUGACUAUUAAAGGUUACAGUUGAAAUAUUUGUUAACCUAGGACAAGGUUCAAAGUCUAUACGACUCCUCAACAUAAUAUCGAAAGUUUUAAAGGAAUCUUUUAAAUUCCUAAGUUAUUUAUACUGCUUCCCAAUUAUUGAACAAUUACGGAAUAUUCCUAUUAUUCUAAAAGGUGAUUGUAGGUUAGUCAUGCGACGAUCCUAAGUGAAUCCUUAAAAAGGAAAGUAUGUCGGGUAGUUGAAAACAUGUAUUGAGGAGUAAAUAUGAGCAAACCAUCGAAUGGGAUGAAAUUCCGAGGAAAAUAGAUGAAAUUCUCAGAAGAGUGAGAUGAAGUUAUCAAAGGAAAAGGCAAGAUUCUUAGAAGAAGGCAAUGAAAUGAUUUUAGAAAGAUCAUUGGGGAAGAAAUUUGGUCAUAGAACAUAAUGAGUGAAUAAAGAUUAAUAUAAAACUUUAUUUUGACAUAUCGAAUGAAAAAAAAAUUAGUAAGUUGAAAUUUCGAGGAUGAAAUUCUUAGAAGAAUGGGUGAAUGUGAUAUCCCAAAUAUUUAUGAGUUUAGUAAAUCAUGAUAUUAAUUUAUGAUGACAAUUGUGGGAUAAAAUGACCCUUAUAAAAAGGAAAUGGAUGGGUUAAAAAAUAUAUAAAUGCGAUACUCGAAAUAUUCUGAGUUCAAACAAAGGUUAUGAAAUAAAACUUACAAGAAUUUAUUGAGAAAAAUAAAUGGAGUAGAUAAUAUAAAAUCUAUAUGAAGGUAGUGCGUUGAGUUAUUCAACGAUAAAAUUUUAAAAGAUAAUUGAUAAAAACCGAGUAAGGGAGGUUUUGGUGAUUCCGAUAACGGAAUUCUUAUAAGAGGGGAAGAAUGUGACAACCUGGAUUAUCGAAAAUUAUUAAAAUAAAAAUUUAAUAAAUAAAAUUCUUAUUAUGAGAUGUGUCGAGUUUGAAUAAAUAUGUAUGUGUUUUGGAAUAUGUGAUUUGGUGUGACGAAAUUAUAUAUAUAUAUAUAUAUAUAUAUAUAUAUAUAUNNNNNNNNNNNNNNNNNNNNNNNNNNNNNNNNNNNNNNNNNNNNNNNNNNNNNNNNNNNNNNNNNNNNNNNNNNNNNNNNNNNNNNNNNNNNNNNNNNNNUGAGAGUUAAUAGUUAAUUAAACUAUUAAAGAAAGUGAAGGAAAUUAGUUAUGAAAUGGAAUAUAGAAGUGAAGAAAAAACAAUUAAUUAUAGAGAGAGCUUUGGAAGAUCAAUCAAAGGCAAGGAGGAGAUUGAGCAAGUCUUCUUCAUCAUGCAAUUAAGCUAAGGAAGGUUUAAGAGGUAUGAAAGAAAUUCUAAAAUUCCUAAUCUUGCUUCCUUAAGUUUUCUGUUAGAACUUAUUUUGCUUGUUUAAGAUGAAGAAAAUUCAAUUGAUGGAUAAACUGUUAGAUGAUUUGAUAAUAGCAUACAAAUGAAAUCAAAGUAAGCAAAUUUGAAUUUGUGUGUAAAGGGGAAGGAAUAGGUUGUUGGUCUAAUUUUAGACAUUUUAGGUCUAUUUUAUGGUUUAAAUUAGUUAUGAUCAUAUGGUUAAAGUUCUGAAUCAAAGGUUGUAUGUUAUACUCCUCUGAAAUACGAAAACAACCUAAUUUGAAUGAACAAAAACGGAGUUAAAACGAAUUUGUGGUGAAAGAUUUCGUAAAAGAUGUCAAAUAAGAAAAUCUAGCAUGAACAUUGAUAUUGAACUCUUAGAAUGGUUUGUUAGAGUUUCUGAGAUGUUAAAAUUACUCUGUAAAGAUAUACUUCAAUGUUUAACGAAAUUUUUGAGUCAAAAAGUUGUGAAUUUUGGAAGAAGAAGAGUUUAAAAACGCAAAUUGGGAAAACUAGUUCUGCAGUCGAGCGCUGCCGCGCUGCUUUUGGGCACGGUCGCGUUGCAACGUGGCCGUUCUGGUGUCAAGAGUAUAAUGGGUGCGACCGCGCCGGUAGCAGAUCAGGCCCAGUGAUGAGCUUUUAAAUGUAUGGUUUAGGGGCAAGUUUUUGGAAUUGAUUUAAUACACAUACUUAUAAUUAAGCAUGUAAUAUGAUAUAAUUCUAAGCCUUAAUCGUCUUAUUGAAUGUUAUGGUUAUAUAAUAAACAUAAAGAAAUAUUAUGUGAAUAACAUAAUGAUCUAGUAAACCUUAAAACACUUAUUAAAAGGCCAAGUGAUGGUUAAGAGAUAGAGAAUUAUGGAUCGUGGUAUGGAGUUAAUGAAAGCGUGUAGUAAGUGUCGAUAUAUGACUAAUUGUUAUGUCUACGUGAUUUGAAUGUGUAGGAUAUACGCAAAGUAGUUAAGCUAUACGUUGUAAUCAAUGCGACAUGCAAGUUUCACAGUUUAUUUAUGUGGAUUUGUAAAUUGAUAUGAGUUAACCAUUAAAAUGACUUAUGUUUAUCAUUAGGUGAAUGACCAAAGUCAACUUAUGACUAAUUUGUUUUGAGUUACGGAAUUCAGUCUACUGAAGCAUGUGAUAUAUGAUCAUUGAUAAGUUGAUGUUGCAUUGAUAAUAUGCGAAAAGAUGAUUAUGUAAGAAUUGAAUAUAAAAUUAUGUGCUUCGUGAUGCAUGAUAAGUUGUUAAACUUGAUGGGCCAUCGUGCUCAAUCUUGCUUAAUUUGCAAGUGAAAGCUAAGAUGCGAUAUUUUGUGAUCAAAAGCGCAUGAAAGGAAGGUUGGUUUUCUUAGUUGAGUUGGUAUUGGAUUAUGAUGUUAUUGUUUAUAUGUGUAAACAACAGAUGUGUUAAUCUUCAAAAUAUUCAAUAGAUGAAUAUUAUUUGCUCUAAAGGAGGUAUUAUGGAACUAUUUUGUAUGUAAAGAUUUCAUAGUUUGAAUCGUCAAUGGCAAAGAUGCUAUGUAUUGAAACUUGACAGUUUGUAAUUAGUUUAUUCUGAAUAAAUAAAUCAUAGAAAAAAUUUGAUUGUGAAAUAAAGGAAUUGGGAAGGUUGAGGUUCAGGGAAUAGAAGAAAGAGAGAAAAUUUUAAAAUAUCCUAAAUUUCAGCAAUUUUUAACAUUGAAUGGUGAUGUAAAGCUAGUACAGAAUAGUUGUUAACGCACAAGGUCGGGAUUAAGUUAGUCCUGAUUUUUUUUGGGUCGUUCCAAUCAUUUUGCAUUUUAAAAUUAUUAUUUAUGUGGACGCAAAUUUAUUGGGUCAAAUGUUUCACUUCCUCUGUUUAAAAUAAAUACCAAUUUUAAUUUUUUGAUCAAAAGUUAUGAGCAGAUAUAGAUAUUUUUUCUAAUUUACAAAAAUUAGAGUUUGUAGUAAAUUGGAUGUAGUUUAUAUUGAUCAUAUUUGCUCAUUUGUAAUUUUGAAAAAUGUAAUUAAUUUCUAAAAUAAUUUAUAUGAAUUUUUUCUUGUAACUCGUUAUUUUUACAUAUAUAUGUUUUGACAAGGGUUGAACAAGUAACUGAAAUCGCACCAAAAACUGACCAUACCAUGUUUAUGGAUUAAAUGUGAUUAUGUGGUGAGUUAGAUACCAUGCUUUAUGAAUUGUUAAAGUCAAAAUAUGACUAAGUUAAUUGAGUUAUGGAACUCAAUUUAUAUGUGAUAUGUGAUAACACAUGUUGUAUAUGAUGUAACUCGAUAAAUGAGAAAUGUAUAAUGCAUGAAUAUAUGCAUUGCAAGGAAUUAUUGAUGCAUGCAGAUAUGCAUAGUAAAGAAAAUAUGGUGCAUAUGGAAUUGUGUGCUAUGUGAAACAUGAUAGACUGUUAAAUUUGUUGGGCUGUCGAGCUCAAUCUUGCAAACACAAACUUUUUGCAGGUUAAUGAUGUUAAGCAAUAUUACUUGCUACUAUACGGAUGAUGAAAAUUGAACGAUGUGCAAAAUGAAUACAUUUCCUUGAAUUAGAAAUGGUAUAAAUCUAUGAUUGAUAGUUUUGUUAAAUGUAAUUGGUAGUUAUGUAUAGUUUGAAAUGUUGAAUGGAUAAAGAAUGUUUAUUCUGAAAUGAGAAUAAAUAUGAUUCUGAAAUAAGUAAAUCAUCGAUAGAAAAGAUAUUAAGUAUUGAGACUUAAGUUUUUAAUACGUUUACUCAGAUUAUACAAAUCAUAUAAUAAAUAUGAUUUUAGUAUAAAGAAGAAUCGUCAAGGUUGCGAUUCAGUGAACGAUGAAUGACAAAAAAAAUUGUUUUUCCGCAUUUUUAGCAAUUUUAACAUUAAAUAAUGUUUUAAAACUAGAACAAUAUAAUAUUAAUGCACAAGAUCAGAGAUAGAAAUUGUCCCGAUUUUGGGGGCGUUACACAUGUUACACCAGUUUGUUAUCUCUGCUUUUCUUGACAUUCAAAAAUCAAGCUUAAUAACUUAAUUUAACACCUCAGAAUAACAAUAUAUCCAUUACUAUUUUCUCGCGAUGAAUGCCUUAAUUCAUCUCCUAAAACUCUAUUCGAGUUUAUCUCCUUAUAAUUCCUCUCAGGUCAUAUCCUAAGGUACUCUUACCCUAGAGCUAUAACCUACUGCUCUGAUACAUUUGGGGAAAAAUUAGGGUUUUGAUUGAGAGAAAUGAACUAAGCGAAUAUGGAUGAAAAACUAGGGUCUCGAUAGAGAGAAAGGGACUAGGUGAAAAUACUAGGGUUUCCAUAGAUUCUUUUGGUGUAGUCAAUAUUUGUGAGAGUAGUUGUUUAAGUAAGUGAGAUUUGGUGAAAUCAAUUUACUUCUAUGGAUUAGAGGCUUUGAUAUAAAAUGCAAGGACAAGAGUUAAUUUGUCACACCACCAUAUGGAAUGACUCACUUAUUCGCUUUCAGUUUAUACAUAUAUAUGCGUGUAUAUAUGUGUGUGUAUAUAUAUACAUAUAAAUAUAUAUAUAUAUAUAUACACACAUACACACACACAAACAUAUAUGUACUAUAUAUUUUUAUGCUUGAUGAUAAUUUAAAAAGUUGUUAAUACAUUUGAUCAUAUGUAUGUGCAUAUACCAUAGAGAGGUAAGAUAGUGAAAAUGAGGACAAUUAUAAAGAUUGUGAAGAGAGAAGAAGUUGGAUUCUUUUGAAGUCGACUUUUAAGGGCUUAUAAUUGAAAAAAUAUAAGUCACAUAUACGAGUCUUUUCGAUAAAGGCCCAAAGCCAAUCGAUGAGGUGAGUUUCAUAGAGUUUAGUGGGUCGAGCUCGCGCUUAGGAAACUAAAUCAUAAUUUUAAUUGAGGUUGAGCAGUCUUGGGCCCAACUUACUAAAUUCAAUUGACAAUCCUAACCCUAGAUAUAUUUCCUAAUGUUAUUUUUCAGCUAUAAAAACUCCUAUUCUAGUAUCUUUCCUCUUUGCCUCUUUAGUCUCUCAAGUUCUCGAUUCUUAAGCCCUAGCCACUUCAACAAAGAUGCUUAUGUUGCUGCUUUUGGUCGUUGAUAAGUAUUUUUCGUGUAAUGAGCUAUCGCGAUGUACCACCAUUUAUUAGCAUUAGGUAAAGAAUUUAUUUCUCUUUAAUUAUAUAUUGAUCUCUUAUUUGUUUUUCAUUUUCUACACAUCUCUAUAUCUCCCAUUUUCAUCUCUAAUAAAACAUCUAAUAAUGGUAGGUUUAACUCUUAUCAUGUUCUUCCUUAAGAAUGACAAGUUUGUCUUCUAAUAAGAAAGUUUGUCGGUAUUUCUGUCCAUAACUAUUUCUUGUGAGUUUAACAAUUUUUUAUUCGAUUUGUUUACAAUUCUAAAUGACUUGUCGAUCUAAUGUAUUGAAAGUUUUUCUCUAGCCGAUUGAGAUUUAACUUGAUCUCGACUAUAUUAUAUUAGUGUGGAUAUUGAAAAUAGUGUACAUUACGUACAUUUUAAUUGUAAUUGUUAGAUCUUUUCUUUAAAAAUAAAUUUUAAAUUAGCAAAUGAUUCAUUUCCUGAAUAAGGAAUUUAGUAGUAAACGAUAUUUUAAUUUUUAAAUAUUUUUUUAUUAAUAUUAAAAAGUUAAUUUUGGUCUUUUAAUUCCAAACGGAAGUAGUGUAUUAUUUUUUCGGCUUGUUUAUGCGAAAAUUAAUUUCUUAAUAUACAUUAAGACUAUAUAUUAGUCAGUUCACUUCUUCUAUUCUGCUAUGUAUAAAACAUAAAUAUCUUUUACCAUAACAUAUAUGAUUUACUAACCAAAUCUUCAUAAUUGUACACACGAAUACACACAUGACAUAUAUGUCCCUCCUUUCCUUCUCCAGCCUCUUCCUUCCCUUAACUUACUGUCUUUCAUGAUGCUGGCUUGUAUAUAAAUUCAAUUCAAUACGUAUAUGGAAGUUUGUAAGAUUUAGAGGAAUAAGAUACAACAACUUCACUGUUUUAACCCUAGUAAAUAUAUAUAUUUCUCCAUAUGUCAAUAUAUUUAUCCAUAGUGACCUAUUUCAUACUUUACAGGGCAUGAUCGAUGUUCAUGGCAUUUCAAUAUUAGAAAUAAUGUUGCUGAUUUUAAAGGUAAAAUGUUGUCGCACUCUAAUAUAUAUUGUUGAUAUUUUCAAAACAUUUCUUAACCUCUUAUUUAAUCUAGCCUUAAUACCAAAAAAAUGUGGGCAACAAUAUGAUUAACAUUAUGUAAAACACAAAUAAGAACUGUUCUUUAAAAGUGGAAAGACCGUGAUUAUCCUUUAUACAAUGUAUGCUAAUUUCUCUAAGCAGAGAAUUUAAACUAGUAAAAUGAGCCCAAAUAUAUAGUUAAGGAAUCUUCUACUGUGUUUUCCUCCCUGUAGAUAUAAUUAGGUAAUUAAUUUGCCAUAUGGAACAUUAAAAAAUAGAAAUUUUUGAGAAGCCCAGCUGAUGUCACAAAUAAGCUAAAUGAGAUAAAGAGCUUUACAUUUAAUCUUGAACCAAAAAAUUCCAAACAAUGUGUGUCGACGUCAAAGAGCAAUGAAUAAAUAAAUGGUCCAUAAAUUCUUAAGUAAGAUAUGCACAACAUCAUUUAGGCACAAUUUGGAUACUUAAGCCUAAUUAACAUGAUUCUAAGAUACUUAUUUUGAAGCCUUGUUUCAUAACACAGGUCAGCCAAAAAACUUCCUUGAGUGUGAAGAAAUCCGAGACAAUUAAUAAUGUAACAAUGUUACGCGAGAAGGAAGGUAUUUCUGAAUAUUUUUCAAAAUUUCUGCAGACAUUUCAAGGAUGAAUAUAAACUAGAUGAUUGUGGCAUAGGAAAGAACUCCAGCUAGCCUUCAUCUUCUUGUAAAGAACACAAUAAAAGUAUUUGUUAGUAUAUCAUCAAAUGGGAUUAUAUCCUACAUAUAAAAUUGCCCGUGAUUCAGAUAUUUGUGAUCAAGCAUUGAAGUGGCAAAACCAUAAGCCUUUGCGGAAGUACUUCUACAGGGACAGACACUGAAGAAUGAAUUUUGUCCAAGUAAUUAUAGUAUUAAAAAGAAUACUUUGUUCAAUGUGUUUUAAUGUUAAGAGUAUUGUACGUUCAAGUAUUUUCUUUUAUACAAGUGAAUGUACUAGGAUAUAUGUCAAGCUUAUAAGAAAUUGAACACAUACUAUUAAGAGUGUUGUUCGAACAUUUUCUUUUUAUGCAAAUGGAUGUACUUAGGAUAUAUGUCAACUUUACAAAAAAAUUGAAUAAUGUGUAUUUUGCAAAUUGAAUAACUUAUACAAAUGGA
rnacentral:lncRNA from 1 species